UGGGGGAUUUUGCACAAUGGGCGCAAGCCUGAUGCAGCGACGCCGCGUGAGGGAUGAAGGCCUUCGGGUUGUAAACCUCUUUCGCUGGGUUGAAAGGCCAUGCUUUGGGUGUGGUUGAUUUGAACUGUUAAAGAAGUACCGGCUAACUACGUGCCAGCAGCCGCGGUAAUACGUAGGGUACUAGCGUUGUCCGGAUUUAUUGGGCGUAAAGGGCUUGUAGGUGGUUUGUUGCUUCUGUCGUGAAAUCCUGUGGCUUAACCAUGGGCUUGCGGGGGGAACGAGCAAGCUUGAGUGCGGUAGGGGAGACUGGAAUUCCUGGUGUAGCGGUGGAAUGCGCAGAUAUCAGGAGGAACACCGGUGGCGAAGGCGGGUCUCUGGGCCGUUACUGACACUGAGGAGCGAAAGCGUGGGGAGCGAACAGG
rnacentral:rRNA from 1 species